GACGAACGCUGGCGGCGUGCUUAACACAUGCAAGUCGAACGGAAAGGCCCUGCUUUUGUGGGGUGCUCGAGUGGCGAACGGGUGAGUAACACGUGAGUAACCUGCCCUUGACUUUGGGAUAACUUCAGGAAACUGGGGCUAAUACCGGAUAGGAGCUCCUGCUGCAUGGUGGGGGUUGGAAAGUUUCGGCGGUUGGGGAUGGACUCGCGGCUUAUCAGCUUGUUGGUGGGGUAGUGGCUUACCAAGGCUUUGACGGGUAGCCGGCCUGAGAGGGUGACCGGCCACAUUGGGACUGAGAUACGGCCCAGACUCCUACGGGAGGCAGCAGUGGGGAAUAUUGCACAAUGGGCGGAAGCCUGAUGCAGCAACGCCGCGUGCGGGAUGACGGCCUUCGGGUUGUAAACCGCUUUCGCCUGUGACGAAGCGUGAGUGACGGUAAUGGGUAAAGAAGCACCGGCUAACUACGUGCCAGCAGCCGCGGUGAUACGUAGGGUGCGAGCGUUGUCCGGAUUUAUUGGGCGUAAAGGGCUCGUAGGUGGUUGAUCGCGUCGGAAGUGUAAUCUUGGGGCUUAACCCUGAGCGUGCUUUCGAUACGGGUUGACUUGAGGAAGGUAGGGGAGAAUGGAAUUCCUGGUGGAGCGGUGGAAUGCGCAGAUAUCAGGAGGAACACCAGUGGCGAAGGCGGUUCUCUGGGCCUUUCCUGACGCUGAGGAGCGAAAGCGUGGGGAGCGAACAGGCUUAGAUACCCUGGUAGUCCACGCUGUAAACGGUGGGUACUAGGUGUGGGGUCCAUUCCACGGGUUCCGUGCCGUAGCUAACGCUUUAAGUACCCCGCCUGGGGAGUACGGCCGCAAGGCUAAAACUCAAAGGAAUUGACGGGGCCCCGCACAAGCGGCGGAGCAUGCGGAUUAAUUCGAUGCAACGCGUAGAACCUUACCUGGGUUUGACAUGGAUCGGGAGCGCUCAGAGAUGGGUGUGCCUCUUUUGGGGUCGGUUCACAGGUGGUGCAUGGCUGUCGUCAGCUCGUGUCGUGAGAUGUUGGGUUAAGUCCCGCAACGAGCGCAACCCUUGUUCACUGUUGCCAGCACGUUAUGGUGGGGACUCAGUGGAGACCGCCGGGGUCAACUCGGAGGAAGGUGGGGAUGACGUCAAGUCAUCAUGCCCCUUAUGUCCAGGGCUUCACGCAUGCUACAAUGGCUGGUACAGAGAGUGGCGAGCCUGUGAGGGUGAGCGGAUCUCGGAAAGCCGGUCUCAGUUCGGAUUGGGGUCUGCAACUCGACCUCAUGAAGUCGGAGUCGCUAGUAAUCGCAGAUCAGCAACGCUGCGGUGAAUACGUUCCCGGGGCU
rnacentral:rRNA from 1 species